AAAACAGCCCUACGGGAGGCAGCAGUGGGGAAUAUUGGACAAUGGGCGAAAGCCUGAUCCAGCAAUGCCGCGUGAGUGAUGAAGGCCUUAGGGUUGUAAAGCUCUUUUACCCGGGAUGAUAAUGACAGUACCGGGAGAAUAAGCUCCGGCUAACUCCGUGCCAGCAGCCGCGGUAAUACGGAGGGAGCUAGCGUUGUUCGGAAUUACUGGGCGUAAAGCGCACGUAGGCGGCUUUGUAAGUUAGAGGUGAAAGCCUGGAGCUUAACUCCAGAACUGCCUUUAAGACUGCAUCGCUUGAAUCCAGGAGAGGUGAGUGGAAUUCCGAGUGUAGAGGUGAAAU
rnacentral:rRNA from 1 species